UCUACACUCCAGAUUUUAACGUGAUCUCUACAAUACCCCUAACUACCGUGUCUACUGCAGCAACUCUGUUAGAUCAGCUUAGCUCACCCCCGGCCUAUCACUAACAGACAAUCAAGAAUUUCAAGCUCGUCUCAACUUAAAACAAAUCAGAACAAGCUUGAUGUCCACUCAUAUGAACCGCUGUGGAGCCCUUGCUACCAGCCCCAAUCACAUUGACCCAUGGCCCCGACGACUAGAAUGCGGCAGCUCCGGACGUCAGAUCAGGGGCCCGUUUCAUAAAGAAUAUCAACAAGUAUCAUUGCCAUUAUGGCAACGACCGUGAUGACAAGACUCAACAGCCAAUCGUAAUAAAGAUUUCCAUGGUAGCUGUAGUUACAAAAAUGGCAAUGAUGAGAUAGUUGUAAGUCUUUAUGAAACAGACCCCGAUCGUCGGCUCAACUCACCUGCAAAGCUCGGACGUUUAGCAACCAGACCGAUCGGAACCAAUCCAGCAAGCAGAGACUGAGAUUUCUAUCCAUGAGAGCAAAACCGUAAAGGGUUCAUCUGGCAGAAGUGGACUAACAGGAAGCAAUGAAUGUGGAGUUAGAUUACAAAGAAGUCUUUGUAAUGAUGGAGGAUAAACUCACCAAACUCGGGUCAGACAUCAAGAUAAUGCCCAGAAACAAGACACCAGAA